GAGGGGAGGGUUUCUGGGGAUGCUGAGGGAGGGGUCCCCGCCCGUGCCGGCAGUCCAGGUCUGCUCCCACUCACCUCGGCGAGACUGGCGUG